rnacentral:rRNA from 1 species
AUUGAACGCUGGCGGCAGGCCUAACACAUGCAAGUCGAGCGAGCGGCGGACGGGUGAGUAAUGUCUGGGAAACUGCCUGAUGGAGGGGGAUAACUACUGGAAACGGUAGCUAAUACCGCAUACCAUCAGAUGGGCCCAGAUGGGAUUAGCUAGUAGGUGGGGUACCGGCUCACCUAGGCGACGAUCCCUAGCUGGUCGGAGAGGAUGACCAGCCACACUGGACCUGAGACACUGUCCAGAAUCCUACUGGAGGCAGCCGUGGGGAAUAGUUCACAGUGGGCGCAAGCCUGAUGCAUCCAUGCCGCGUGUGUGAAGAAGGCCUUCGGGUUGUAAAGCCCUUUCAGCUGGCCGGCGUUGCCCGCAGAAGAAGCACCGGCUAACUCCUUGCCAGCCGCCGCGGUAAUAC